CACUCAGGUGACAGGGCCAGGAGAGGAGUCACACUUCAGGCCAUGGAAGGCUGUGUAUAUUGUUCAAAGAGGCUUAAACUUGAUAGUACAGGUCAAAGAUUCUUAGAGACUGGCCUCUAGAGUCCAGUGUCCUCUCCCCUGAAGUUUAAAAUUUGAUGCCCGUGGGCCAGAAGAGAGCAAGUGAGAGGAGAGGAAGAAGCAGCACAAGCCACAAAGUCACCUGCAUGCCCAGUGUAUAUUGAACCCAGUUUCCAAGGGGAAAAGUGCUGCACAACCAAUGUCAGAGCGGGGGGAGUUUUCUUCAAGACCAACAGCUUUAAAACCAAGCUCCACUUCAGAGUGGAUUUUACCACUGGGGUCUGUAAUGGAAAUGCUGACAUAAUCUUAAUUAUGAGAGAGAAUUUCUCUCGGAUGGAAAUGCGGUGACCCAGAAGACUCCAUUUGCAAGUCCUCCUGACCUGUAAGAGGAGAUGCCUGGUGGAAUAUUUUGGGUAAUAUAUUAUGCAUCUACUUAUCCUAUGAUCCCCAUCUGUGGGCUUAGCAAGGCAGUAUUUUGAAGAAAGGGAGAAAAAAAUAUGAACACCAGGCUUGAGAACACUCGCCUGGAUCAGAGACCAGGGUGAGCUUUCUACUCUGCAGUGUUUUGCAUUUCAUAUGAAGUGAAAUCUAUUUCAGGUGCUGCUGAAAAUGCAGGAAAAGUACCAGUGACUGG